UGCUCCUCUUUCACAGGAAUCAGCUGAGGAGUCCCUUGUUGAGGCAGCAGAAGUCACGGCAGAGUCUUAGGUUUGAGGCAGGCAAGACAGUUUCUAAAUUUGGAAUGGAUUAAUUCAAAAAAGCGAAAACUGCUUGUCUCCAUAGAGAAGUUGCUGCAGUUGAAAGUUGUUACUCGCUUCUUAUUCACUCAACUAAAUUGCAGAUGAUUGGAUUGGAGAAACUUCCAGAUGACUGUACAACAGACUCAUGGCAGCCUGAGUCUAAAAUGUUGAUGUCAUGUAAAUCAUAGAAGAAGGAAAACUUGUGUUCUCAUUUACCUUCCAAUUCAAAGACAUUGAUAAGGGUUCUGAAAAACAAUGUCGGCUACUGUAGUGUUGGUGGCCUUUCCCUGCAUUGCAGCUUUUCAUAGAAGCCUCAGUUGAAGUUGUCGCAGAUCAAACAAACUAAAUGAAUUAGCUUUUCUUUCUCACAGAGUGAGAGGUCUUUAUCUUCCAUAGAAAAUUCAGUUAGUAACAACCAGAAUGGAAAGUUCUGCAGCUUUACUGUUCCCAUACCCUUUUUUUCUGGUUGAGUAGAUCAUGAUUGUGACCAUUUGUCUGGUUUCACUUUGGUCCAGGUCUUUUGUGAAUUGUGCUGCACUGUUUUCUACAAAUACUGACUUUUCUGCAGCUAGGGAUAGAAAUAGUGGCUACAAGGAAGGGAUGGGAAGUAGACAAGGUCAGGGUGAGGGGAUGAUAUUGACUAUAGAAACGUAAAAAAAUCACUAGAGAAGGGCAAUGAAGAUUAAUAGAGGAAUGCUUUGCAAUUAAGCAAUCAUUUUUCCCCUUUUAUUCUGCUGUCAAAUAGUUAUUGUUAUCAUGUACCUUUAAACAUUUGUAUGUUUUGAUAAGUAGGCAGGAAAGGAUGCACUAACAAUUAUAUAGUAAUCUUGGACAAGGUAAAAGAUGUCUGUUAACUUGUACUUAAUGAAUUCUGAGUCAUUUUGUCUGUGUGACAAAAAUCAAAGACAAAAAUUUGGACCU